rnacentral:rRNA from 2 species
AGAAAUUAAACUGAAGAGUUUGAUCCUGGCUCAGAUUGAACGCUGGCGGAAUGCUUUACACAUGCAAGUCGAACGGCAGCACGGGAGCUUGCUCCUGGUGGCG